rnacentral:lncRNA from 1 species
CAGUUUUACACCCAAUCGGCUGACAUAUGGACAUACUUUUCUACUUGGGACGCCACUUAUACUUGCAAGAAAGACAUGGUGACCAACAUAAGCGAAAAUAACAUUACACUUUCAACUUACUAUUAUCAGGGGCAGAAAAAGAAUAUGUACAGCUCCACAGGCAGACUCUUUAACGUCUGGAACCAGGCGUCUCCCCUUAACGGAAUGUUUAUUACUGACAAAAUAACGGGCUACGCUCGCAGAGAGAUUUUUUAUGCCUCAGAUGACUACACCUGUGCUGUCGUUCAAGUUCAGCCAUAUUAUGGCCGGCGUGAGUAC